UUUUUAGUAUAAGUAUUCCCCAUGCAAUAUUUGGGACAUACUUAUAUAAAA
rnacentral:pre_miRNA from 1 species